UGUUCUGUGGCUUAGUUGGUUUAAGCGCCGGUCUUGCGAAUACCGAGUCGUGGGUACAAAUCCCAUCAGAACGC
rfam:Aedes albopictus isolate Foshan contig97853, whole genome shotgun sequence.